rnacentral:tRNA from 1 species
GGCCCCAUCAUCUAGUGGCCUAGGAUUCCGGCUUUUCAUGCCGGCAACCGGAGUUCGAGUCUCCGUGGGGUCA